rnacentral:rRNA from 1 species
AUACGGAGGGUGCAAGCGUUACUCGGAAUCACUGGGCGUAAAGCGCGCGCAGGCGGGCUGAUAAGUUGGAUGUGAAAGCCUACGGCUCAACCGUAGAACUGCAUCCAAAACUGUCAGUCUAGAGUGUGGGAGAGGAAGAUGGAAUUAGUUGUGUAGGGGUAAGAUCCGUAGAGAUAACUAGGAAUACCAAAAGCGAAGGCAAUCUUCUGGAACACUACUGACGCUGAGGCGCGAAGGCGUGGGGAGCAAACAGGAUUAGAAACCCCAGUAGUCC